GUCCUUGUAGCUUAAACUAAAGCAUGGCCCUGAAAAGGCCAAUAUGAAGUCAACCUAUUCCAAAGACA
rnacentral:tRNA from 1 species